CGCAGUCAGCAGGAUUCGAACCUACGCGGACAGAGCCCAAUUGAUUUCUAGUCAAUCUCCUUAACCACUCGGACAUGACUGCUUCU
ensembl:ncRNA Y7A5A.16 ncRNA